AAUUAUAUAGGAGCCAGCUGAUUACUUGGGGGAAUUUUAUUGAAAACAAGGGAAGAAUGACUUGUGAUUCCAAUGAAAAGAAAUCACUGAAUGAUAGACGCACGUUCUGACGAUGAUUUUUUUUGUACAGUGCUAAGAAAAGUUUUUGGAGGUUCUAAGAACUCUUUUACCACACCACAAGGCAGUCCUUUACGAACUCUGUCCAGAAAAAAAAAAUUAUCACUGGUUAAUUGCUAUAUAAAGUUUUCAUAAAUAGAAGUCAGAUAACAGUGUUCUUAACAUUACAAUAAGAAAAUUUCUGUACCAAAAAGUGUUCAGUGUACAUCAACGGUUUAAUGUUUUUGAAUUGUUUUUCCAUGUCCAACUUCUAAAUAAACACGAUUGUGGCCAAGUGACCUUUAAAAGUAAAGGUCAAAGGUGAAUAACGGGAGAAGUUUUAAAAAUUGGAGGAAAAAACCCAAAACAUUGUCUUCUGUAUAAAUGAAAAUAUUAACAUUUUUUAAUUGUUACUGAUUUAGCAUAAUUAUAUAUAUAUAUCACUCAUUCAGGCGUUGUUGCUGAUGUGGCCCAUGUUGACGUUUUGAAAUUUGGUGUUUCCAAGAUCAAUAAGGCAUUUGUUUUGUUUUAAUUGUUUUAUGUCCAAUUACUCUAUAUAUAUUUACAUGUAUUUCUGUAUUUUGUAUACAGAAUGUAAUUUAUAUUUCAUGUAUCAGUAUAUACAAUUCUAUAUAAAAGAUUUUGAAUUUG
rnacentral:misc_RNA from 1 species